rnacentral:rRNA from 1 species
AACGAACGCUGGCGGCAUGCCUAACACAUGCAAGUCGAACGAUGCCUUCGGGCAUAGUGGCGCACGGGUGCGUAACGCGUGGGAAUCUGCCUUUCGGUUCGGAAUAACUCAGGGAAACUUGAGCUAAUACCGGAUAACGUCGCAAGACCAAAGAUUUAUCACCGAAAGAUGAGCCCGCGUAGGAUUAGCUAGUUGGUGAGGUAAAGGCUCACCAAGGCGACGAUCCUUAGCUGGUCUGAGAGGAUGAUCAGCCACACUGGGACUGAGACACGGCCCAGACGCCUACGGGAGGCAGCAGUGGGGAGUAUUGGAAAAUGGGCUAAAGCCUGAUCCAGUAAUGCCGCGUGAAUGAUGAAGGCCUUAGGGUUGGAAAGCUCUUGUACCCGGGAAGAUAAUGACGGUACCGGGAGAAUAAGCCCAGGCUAACUCCGAG